rnacentral:lncRNA from 1 species
AGGCAGCUAUUAUGAGACUCAUCUCAGUUGUGCUGUGGCUGAAGGAUGCUUAUAGCAGUAAUGUGCCCCUGCUCAUGUCCCCUGCUCCUUCAAGGAAGGCUGUGUACCUUAGGAUUGCUCCUUGGUGGCCAUGAAGCUCCACAGCUCACAAAGGAGUACCACAGAUGAGGUGUUUUGCUCUUGGUGCAUCACAUGAAGAUGCACACAACGUGGAUUUGUCCUAUUACCAGGACCUGUCCUCUGCAUUGUAAGAUGUAUAACACAUCCCCGGACUCUACCCACUAGACUCAGUAGCACACCUCAAUUGUGAUGACCACAAAUGUCCAGACAUUGCCGAAUGUCCUGUGUGCCUGUGGAGAGGGGAUUGGAGGAAUAAUCAUACCAAGCUGAGAAGCACUGUUCUGUGGUUAUCACAGUGUAAUUUUAAAUAAUAUCAUACCAUUUCCACAUAGUGUAAGAAUCUUAGAGCCACCAUUUUUGAUACUGUUGUUGCCAAGUGUUUUAUUUUUAUGUAUGUAUAAAUCCAUAAUAUAUAUUUAUAAUAUUUGUGUAGUCUACCAAUUAUUUAUAUUAUAAUUAAAAUAAUUUAUUGAUUAUAAUUACUUUUGUAUUUUGCCUUUUCUAGCUCUGUUAAUUUCUUUGCCUACAUUUAUUUAGCUUUCUUGAUAACAUUUCUGUCUGAAGAACUUCUCUUAAUAAUUCUUUUUUUUUGAGUUUUUUAAUCUUUAUUAUUUUUAGAGCAUUUAUAGGUUUGUAGCAAAAUUGAGGGGAAGGUACAGCAAUUUCUCAUACGCCCCCUGCCCCGACACAUGCAUAGUUUCCUCCAUUAUCAACAUCCCUUAUCAGAGUGUUAAAUUUGUUACAACUGAUGAACUUACACUGAUACAUCAUCACUCAAAGUCAAUAGUUACAUUACUG